rnacentral:ncRNA from 2 species
ACUAUAUGUUGUAUUCAGGGUUCUUUUUGAUUCGACAGAAUGAAAAAGCGAAGACGGGAAUCCGGUGCGGUGCGCCUGUAAUACCUGUUAUGCAGGUGAUAUGUUGCGCCCCAAGUCCGGAACUGCCCCCGCAACUGUGAAUGGUGUGUGCAGGCCAUGAUGUUCCUGGAGCUUUGCAGCUUUGGGGAGGCGGUUUCUGCGGUAAGCCAUGAGUCAGGAAGCCUGCCUUGGGUGAGAGAUUUGU